UGUAUAAAAGUCAAAGAGAGACAAAUUAUUGUUAAUAAUUUUAAUGGAUUAUACUCCUUAUACAA
rnacentral:tRNA from 1 species